GACGAACGCUGGCGGCGUGCCUAAUACAUGCAAGUCGAGCGAAUCGGCCUGGAACUUGGGCGUGCUUGGACACUGUGAAACAAGAUAGAAACUAGCAGCGGACCGGUGUGUAACACGUGGAUAACCUGGGCAAGAGGGCGGGAAAACAGCAGGAAAUAGAUGCUAAUACCGUAUAACAACAGAAGAUGGCUAUCAAAUGAUUAAAAGAUGGAUCUGCUAUCACUCUUGGAUGGACCUGCGGUGCAUUAGCUAGUUGGUAGGGUAACGGCCUACCAAGGCGACGAUGCAUAGCCGAGCUGAGAGGCUGAUCGGCCACACUGGAACUGAGACACGGUCCAAACUCCUACGGGAGGCAGCAGUAGGGAAUCUUCCACAAUGGACGAAAGCCUGAUGGAGCAACGCCGCGUGAGUGAAGAAGGGCUUCGGCUCGUAAAGCUCUGUUGUUGGUGAAGAACGAACGUGUUAGUAACUGACCUUGGUUUGACGGUAAUUAAUUAGAAAGUCACGGCUAACUACGUG
rnacentral:rRNA from 1 species